GAUGAACGCUGGCGGCGUGCUUAACACAUGCAAGUCGAACGGGAAACCUUUUAUGGAAGCUUCGGCAGAUUUAGCUGGUUUCUAGUGGCGGACGGGUGGGUAACGCGUGGGUACCCUGCCUUAUACAGGGGGAUAACAACCAGAAAUGGUGGCUAUUACGGCAUAAGCGCAAAGGACCGCAGGGUCCGGUGUGAAAAACUCCGGUGGUAUAAGAUGGACCCGCGUUGGAUUAGCUAGUUGGCAGGGUAACGGCCUACCAAGGCGACGAUCCAUAGCCGGCCUGAGAGGGUGAACGGCCACAUUGGGACUGAGACACGGCCCAGACUCCUACGGGAGGCAGCAGUGGGGAAUAUUGCACAAUGGGGGAAACCCUGAUGCAGCGACGCCGCGUGAAGGAAGAAGUAUCUCGGUAUGUAAACUUCUAUCAGCAGGGAAGAUAGUGACGGUACCUGACUAAGAAGCCCCGGCUAACUACGUG
rnacentral:rRNA from 1 species